UGAUGUGAGGGCAGCCUGGCUGCAAAAUUUGUUACCCUAUUAACCGCCAGAGUUGAUUUGGAUGACCUGGCUGGUUACAUGGGUGUCUUUCCCUUUUCUAACCCCUCCAUGUGCAUCCUUCCUGACGCUGCAUACUUGGUUGAAAAGGAUGAUCACUGUCAACAGAAGAAGAUAGUUUCCUCAGUGAAGUGUACAAAAGUAGCUACACUGUCCUGCUGAAACCUCCAAGUAGGGAUGAGGAGAAGGAUUAUAGAAACAUGUAGGAGGAGUAAUUAGUCAGUGAAU
ensembl:misc_RNA 7SK 7SK RNA